GGGCCCGUGGUCUAGUGGUUGGGACGCCACUCUCACACAGUGGAGGUCCUGGGUUCGAUCCCCAGCGGGCCCA
rnacentral:tRNA from 3 species